rnacentral:lncRNA from 1 species
AUGUUGAUCCAGAAAGGAAAUAUACUUUUAUCACUAAAUCUUGAAGGGAUUUACCUCAAUUUCUACUUAACCUACUUUUAUUUAAAGAAGAGAACUUCAUAUUGGUCAUGUGAUAUUUACCCAAGUCACAGGUAUCUUAAACUUUGUGUAUUGUGUUUAAGCCCCAAUAACUACAGAAUUUCUUUACUGACCAUUUGUUACAGACAAAACAGCAACGAUUUAUAUCAAACGAGCAAUAGAAAAGGCAAAUGGAAAGAUACAGUGGAUGAUAAAAAGGUGUUAGAGUAAAUAUAAGGGUCUCUGCUCUGGGCUGAUGGUGAUUUGGAAGUGAAGACACAGGUCUUAGUGCUCACCUGAAAAAUUAUAUUUGUCUUAUAAAUAUGCAGUGUAGCUGGGGAUUAUCCAGAGCAUUUUCAGAACCUCUCUGCCUAAUGCUGACCAACAACAUGUACUAGGUCAGUGCUUGGUUAUUUUGGGUACCUGGAAGUCCCCAGUUGAUUACAAUAGUCCACUUGUAACUCAGCACUGAAGGGCAUUUGAGGGUGAUGAAGCAAUCUCUUCAUUGACCACUGAAUAAAACCAGCUGAUGACUCA